GGUGGAGUGAUUUGUCUGGUUAAUUCCGAUAACGAACGAGACUCUGGCCUACUAACUAGUGAGUGGAUCUUUCGUCCGCUCGACUUCUUAGAGGGACAAGCAGCGUUUAGCUGCAUGAAAAAGAGCAAUAACAGGUCUGUGAUGCCCUUAGAUGUCCGGGGCUGCACGCGCGCUACACUGAAGGAAUCAGCGUGUGGGACUGCCUGGCUUGAAAGAGUUGGGUAAUCCGGUGAAAAUCCUUCGUGAUUGGGAUCGGGACUUGCAAUUAUUUCCCUUGAACGAGGAAUCCCUAGUAAGUACGGGUCAUCAGCUCGUGCUGAUUACGUCCCUGCCCUUUGUA
rnacentral:rRNA from 1 species